UUGUCAGGGGUUAAUCUUGAAGGUAUCAAGUUUUGUUCCACUCUUAUUAAUCCUGUAUGUUCAUCUGUUCAUACUUUUCAUGAUUUGUGGAUUAUUGAUUCUGGUGCUACUGAUCAUAUUACCCAUUCAUUCUCAAAUCUUGUUAAUCUUAUACUUGUUACUUCCUUCAUACACCUACCUAAUGGAAUAGUAUCUUCUAUUACUUAUACAGGCACAGUUAAUCUUACUUCAACUCUCACUCUCUUUAAUGUUCUCUUCGUUCCUGAUUUCCAAUACAACUUGAUUUCUGUUAGUAAACUGUCUUCUAACAAUGCUUGUUGUGUUCUCUUUUCUCCUCACCAAUGUGUUUUUCAGGAACCUGUGUUGAAGACUUUGAAAGGGACUGGUAAUCUGGAUGGUGGCUUGUAUAUUUUUCAAGAUUCAAGCUCAGCAACUCAUUCUAGCAAUAUUUCUUCUAGUACUGUUACUUCUGCUUCCAUUAUAAAUUUAGUUGUAUCCAAUAAAUUGUGGCAUUUUAGACUUGGUCAUCCACCUCUUAAUGUUCUAAAUAAAAUUUCCUCUCUUUCUUUGGAGAACAA
rnacentral:lncRNA from 1 species